CUAAUGUUCAAUGCUGCUCCCCUGGUUUCACGGGCUGUGUGUCUGUGAGAGAGCUCGCCCGAAGCUGUCUCCAUUCUGAAUAAAGCUGUUGAGAGGAAUGUGUGCUGGUGUUUGCUCCCUGCUUGCUCUGUCUAAUGAGUACCAGGAUCCAUGAGCAAUUGGACCGUCGUCUCCCUAGUCACUGAGUGCCGCAUGGAGUCGGGGUCUAACAAGGGCCUAGAGAUCUUCUGGACUGCAUGAACCUGAUCUCAUCUGGAAGCUAAGAGCCUUAACAACUCUGGGGCCUGAGAACCGAACAGAGCCCACGGAGCUUUGACAACUCGGUGGAAAAGAAUUGCCGAACCUGCGGAGCCUUACAACUCCGGGGCCAAAGAACCGAAUUUGUCAUAGUCCUCCAACGAGGAUUUAAGUGGAGCUGCACCUGGAAACUGUCCAGCCUACACCGCGACCAUCUUGGGUCUUCCUGUACCCACAGCUGCAUGGCAGAGCAUGGGGUAUGGGGCCCCAGGCCAAGAGGACAGCAUGGGCCCAUCCUGAUUUCCUGCGGUGCCAGGAAACAUGAAGUCAGACGUAUGCCACAAAAAACAGCUGGCUCUGUGAUUUUGGCAGACUUGCUCUAUUAAUCUCCCAUAAGGAGAUCAUUCUCCCACUUUCCUGACAUAUUCCAUGUGGCUGGUCAACAGCAUCUGAAGUGGUCAGUUCAUCUCCAUGGGAAGGAUGGACAAAUAGGCAAUGCAUGAUUUGGACAAAACAUUAACUGUACUUAGACAAUGCUCAACUCUGAACUGAACAUGUACCAUAUUAACAGAGUCCAUGUUGACUAUAGCAGCCUAUUUGAAGGUGGGAUAUGCUUUUUCAUAGGUGCUUUUACAUAUGAAUCAGAAUGUGAUCUAGAAUGACAAGGCUUCUGGCUACAUACCAGCUAGGAGGCAGCUGACCUCCAUGAGACGCAGGAGCAAUCAUGUGUCUUUUGAAGAAGAUUAUCUAGAGCAGGGCUGUUCAACUUCUAAGCAGCCAGGGACCCCAUGCUGCAUGGUUCCCCAUUGCCUCCCCAUCGUGGGGGUUCUCAUACUAUGCAGACUCCCUGAAAUACCCUGCCAUAUUGGCUGUGAAGACUCCCUGGACUCACUUGGGCCACCCUGCCCCUGCAUCAGGAAGUGGAAUCUAGUGGCAUGAGGAGGAACCUGGAGACCCAAGUAACAGCAAAGGAGUUAGGGAAGAGGUGUCCAGGUGAAGAGCCCACUGGCCACAAGUUAAUGCUUCUCAGGCCUCAUGCAGCCAAUGGGCCAUGAGUCAGACAAAGCAUAUUGCAGGAAGAAAGGAGAUGUGAAAUAAAGAGUACAAAACCUUAUUCUGCAAAGCAAUGAGCAUCACUUGUAAGAGAACCAGCUCCCUCAUGAGAUCAUAUUCAUAACUUGCAAGCCUAAACAGAUGCAAGCACAUUGUUGGAGUGUUUGUAUGUCUGUCACAGCUGGACCAUAACAGAUGCUUAUAUUUCAGAAAUACUAAGAGAGUCAAAAUAAAAUUCAAAGCAUAUUAUGCAAACAUGAGAAGAAAGAGUUUUGAUCUGAUUAUACCUACACAAAAUUUAUUACAUGAUUUAACAAAAUUAAAAAUCUUCAAAUAGUAUAUUCUCAAUUAACUGAGCACUACUAAUUCCUGUUGACAGAGUAGAAAUUGAGGUUGUCCAAGAGCUUAGAGGUUUGGAAGCCAAAGAAGGAAUUGGCUUUAGGAAACUGCAAUUUGAGAUGAGAGAAUGGUUUCUUUGGAUUUUCAAUAUCCUUUCUGCCAACCUUCUGCGGCUGGAGAUCUACAGAAAGGGAUGACAGCAUGGCAUGGACUUCUGUUCACAUAUGGCAUGUUUAAUUCAAAGUUCAAUAAAAUCUGGUAUCAGACAAUGACAGAAGAACUUUAACUAUGGGAAGGACUGCAUUUUGGUAGGCAUUCAGUGGAGAGCAAGAAGGAAGAAGGAUUGCAGAAAAAAGGGUAUGAAAGUAUCUCAAAGCAGAAAAAUGUGCUUUCAUAGCCUGUGGUGUCUAUUAUCAAAACUGUAUUACCAUUAAAUCCAAGAGGCUAUUGUUGCCAGUGUGAUUUGCAGUCUACUACUAGUCCCAAAAGCUGGAAGAAGCCUGCAUAAAGCAUCCAACAGUGCCUGUUUCUCCACCCACUCCGAUACCUGACUCCUAUCACCUUACCCUCCACUCUCUUAUAUAAGCUCAGGGAGAGGAACACGACAUGUCGAGGCA